rnacentral:tRNA from 3 species
GCCUCCUUAGCUCAGCUGGCCAGAGCACCGCUCUUGUAAAGCGUAGGUCGUCGGUUCGAAUCCGACAGGGGGCU